rnacentral:rRNA from 1 species
UGGGGAAUAUUGGGCAAUGGACGGAAGUCUGACCCAGCGACGCCGCGUGAGGGAAGAAGGUCUUCGGAUUGUAAACCUUAAACAACAGGGACGAAAGAAAUGACGGUACCUGUUAGGAAGCCACGGCUAACUACGUGCCAGCAGCCGCGGUAAUACGUAGGUGGCAAGCGUUAUCCGGAUUUAUUGGGUUUAAAGGGUGCGCAGGCGGCGCGCCAAGUCAGCGGUCAAAGUUCCGGGCUCAACCCGGUGUCGCCGUUGAAACUGGCGUGCUCGAGUGCGUGCGAGGAAGGCGGAAUGCGUUGUGUAGCGGUGAAAUGCAUAGAUAUGACGCAGAACUCCGAUUGCGAAGGCAGCUUUCCAGCGCGCUACUGACGCUGAGGCACGAAAGCGUGGGGAUCGAACAGGGAUUAGAUACCCUGGUAGU